rnacentral:rRNA from 1 species
AAGUGCGAUUAUAUUAUCACUAAAGCACUAGGUCCCAUUAGAACUCUGAACUUAAGCCUGCUUGGUGAGAGUAGUAUUAGGAUGGGUGACCCCUCGGGAAGUCCUUGUGUUGCACUCC